rnacentral:rRNA from 1 species
CGGAUUGGAGUCUGCAACCCGACUCCAUGAAGCUGGAUUCGCUAGUAAUCGCGCAUCAGCCACGGCGCGGUGAAUACGUUCCCGGGCCUUGUACACACCGCCCGUCAAGCCAUGGGAGGCCGGGGGGUGCCUGAAGGCCGUGACCGCGAGGAGCGGCCUAGGGUAAAACUGGUGACUGGGGCUAAGUCGUAACAAGGUACC